CCAUUUCUGCCCUCUAGUUACUCACCUGCUGCCUCUCCAUGCUUGCUCCUUCAAGCCCACCAUUCCCAUUGGGAACUGGAUUUCACACUCACCACCACAUGCCACACCAGGAGGUAGUGAUAGGUCUGGUGAUAUGGAUGGAACCAGAAACCCUCAUGAAGGGGCAGCAACCUGCUGUGGGACCUGCUUCGGGCCAGCCCAAGUCUGCACUCAGAGGGCCAUAUUCCUAAAAUGGAUUGUUCUUAUACAGACGGUGCCAACAUGCCACAGAAAAAUACACAGAAGAGUCUGUGUGACUGAUGUGGAUGGUACAUCAGUCUAUGUGUCUCUAUGAUGUGACAUGGAAACAAUGGUCCUGCAAUGAUAAUCAUGCUAUGCUGGCUUAUGUGUCCAACACCGAGUCUUGAUAGUGUUCCAGCACUAGGAGAACACAUCUGUCACAUCUCUUCUGUCCUCUGAGCACCACUAAGCUUUCAGGACAGACAUUUUAGGUGCUCAAUCUGACAAGAAAAGAGAACAUUAUUCGACUCUGGGGUGAGAAGAGUACCCCAGAACCCCAUGCUUCCCAACCCACCGAAAAAAAACUCUGGGAAAGUACAUUCCACGGGAUCCAUUGCUGGCCUCAGCCAAUGGAUCUCCUCACAAUAAACUGAGGAGGACCUCUCAGGCGACUAUGGACAGUCUGGGGGGAAGAUCUGGCCUCUCACAUUGUGAUAUCCCUAAGACAACUGUAUUCUUCACCUGGCCCCAUCCCCAGGAUAUAAUGCCACUGACCUGAAGACGUUAAGCCCCAGCUCCAUGGCUUCUGAGCCACGGGUUGGGGACCGGUCUGGCUCAGAAUCGGACAGCCCCACGGGGAGCCAGGCCAGAUGUCCAGGAGGCAGUGUGGACACAGGGCACUCCUGCAGAGGAAGAGCUAUUCUCCCCUCGCAGAGCUCUCCAGUUACUCACCUGCUGCCUCUCCAUGCUUGCUCCUUCAAGCCCACCAUUCCCAUUGGGAACUGGAUUUCACACUCACCACCACGUGCCAAACCCUGAGGAAGUGAUAGGUGUUGUGAUAUGGAUCGAACCAGAUGCCUUAUGAAGGGGCAGCAUACUGCACUUUGAUCCACUUGGCCCUGUGAAGUAUGAAAAGCUCAAGGCCAGUAUAGGCAGUAGUUGGUUUCUGCUUUGGGCCCUGCCUUGUGCCAACCCAAGUCUAAACUCAGAAGACCAUAUUCAUAAAGUUACUUGUUCUUAUACUGAUGGUGCCAACAUGCCAUAGCACGAGACUCGGAAAAGACUGUGUGACUGAUGUGGACGGUACAUUAAUAUAUGUAUCUCCUUAAUAUGACAUGAAAACAAUGGUCCUGGGAUCAUAAUCAUGCUAUGCUGGCUUGUGUGUCCAACAGGUGUCUUGAUAGUGUUCCAGCACUAGGAGAACACAUCUGUCACAUCUCUUCUGUCCUCUGAGCACCACUAAGCUCCCAGGACAGAUAUUUUGAGGUGCCCAAUCUGGGAAAGUACAUUCCACGGGAUCCUUUGCUGGCCUCAGCCAUUGGGUCUACUCAGAAAAAACUGAGGAGGACUUUUCAGACAACUCUGGCCAGUCUGGGAGGGAGAUCUGGCCUCUCACAUUGUGAUUCCCCUAAGACAACUGUAUUGUUCACCUGCCCCCAUCCACAGGUUUUAAAAGCCACUGGUGAGUAUCUCUUUCUGUCUCUGUGCUUGUGUCUGUGUCUGUGUCUCUCUUUCUCUCUCUCUGCCUCUCUUCUACAUGAACAACAUCCAGGCAGAUCACAUGUUCUGUCUUAAACAGGACCCCCAGCAAAUCACCAAACACUGAAGAUUGCUAUAAAUAGGAAACCCAAAAGGCAAACAUAAAAUAAAAAUUGCAAUUGAUUGAAAUAUAUACAUGAUAUUAAACCCGACCAGCCAAAAAAUAACAGCAUGAAACCUUGAAUAACCCACCCUAGUAAUAAUAGUCUCACAGAAGCAUGCUAAGGAAACACAUUCCACCUACAACCAAAGAAGGACAUUGGCUUUCAUUCCCUGACAGGUGUAUUAAGCUGUUAUAAGCACUAGUCCAUUUUAUUUUCUGACAUUUGGUUCUGUCUACUUUGGUACAAACUGUUUUCAUCUGCUGGUUUGUUUCUUUGUCUGUCUGUCUGUUUGUCAGUUUGUUUGUUUGUUUGUUUGUUUGUUUGUUUUUGGAGACAGGGUUUUUCAGUGUAGUUUUGGUGCAGGUCCUUGAUCUCAUUCUGUAAACCAGACUGGCCUUGAACUCCCAGAGAUCUGCCUGGCUCUACCUUCUGAGUUUGGGGAUUAAAGGCUUGGACCACCACCGCCCAGCUCUAUUGGUUGAUGAGUUUAUAUAGGGUAUUGCCCUGCAACUCAGGCUGGACAGAAUUCGGUAGAGAGUCCAGACUGACUUUAAAUUCUUGGGGAUCCUGCUGCCUCAGUGUCUCUUAGGUGCACUGGAACACUGUUAGCAUUUGUGGUUUAGUCAAAGUCUCAUAUAACACAAGCAGGCCACUCUGUAGCCAUAGAUGACCUUGAGUAGGAUCUUCAUCUCCUUGUCUCUAACUCCCCAAGGCAGAAAUUCCAGUUUUGAGCCACUCUGCCCUGUUAAGUAUGAAAAUCUCAAGGCCUUAAUAAGCAGGAGUGAUUUGCAGGCUGAGUGGAAUCCCGUCUCAAGGAGAAUAUAGAAGUUCUGAACAUUUUGAACUAUCAGAUCUGGACAAUGCCUGGGUAGAUGGGGGAAUGGCUAAAGCGCCACAGAGAAAGGAAGGACUGUGUGAAAACUGGAUGUGGCCGUGUCCUUAUGUCAUCUGAGACCUGGAGCUGAAGAGAGUCAAGUGUGGGAGCUUGCUGGCCUGAGGUCAGUGAGACACACUGUCUCGAAAAUGAAGGUGAAUGCCCGGUGGUGGUGGAGCAACCCUUUAAUCCCAGGACUGGAAGGCAGAAGCUGUCAGAUCUCUGUGAGUUCAAGGACAACUGGUCUAGAGAGCCAGCUCCAGGACAGCCAGGGAAACUCAGGGAACACCAGUCUCAUAAAACAAACAAAAACAACUAAGGUGCAAAAGCAUUUGAUGAAUAUUCCUGAUCUACAUGUUUGCUUAAAGGGUUAGAUAGGCACGGACAGAUAGGCACCGUUGCACCCCUACGUGCACACAAACACACACACACACACACACACACACACACACACACACACACACACACCACACACACACCUGCAGUCACACAUAGGUCAGGAACAAACACACACUCUUUGUGCAGAGUUCUCCACCCUGUCCUUACCCAUACCCCUCACUACUGUCUAUUCCUUGUACUCAUGGCCUUUUCUUUUCUUUGCCAAAGCACAUGUCUCUUAAACACCACGGUGGCAUAACUACCAGUCCCCUCUAAUGAGGCUUCCUCUCAUUUUUUUUCUCUUCUCUUAUUUUGACUCCUGUUUUCUGUCUGUAGUCCAGGCUGCCAAGGACAGGCGACCCUCCUGCCCUCAGACAAUUGAUCAGAGGGGAUACAGAUGACAUAGUCGUUUUACUGAGAGUCUUUUGGAGUGCCACAAUCAUGAACUGUAUCUGGAUGCCGCUCUUCUUCUGAAGCUGGUGAGCAGUGAUCUGGUCAUGAAAAAGGGAAGAAGGCUGUCCCAGUCCCAUGCCCUCUCAAGGACACUCAGGUCAGUGUGCAGCAGUCCCUGGACUGUCACCUGUGUAGCCAGGCUGCUUUGAAGGACUGUUCUGACUAGCGGCCCUCAAGUUGGACUCAUCUAACUCUCUAUGCAGCUCUGUGGGACAGGAUGGAAGGCACCAGCCUCAACCAGCCCAUGUCCAGACCUGUAGCUGAUGACACUAUGAGAUGGAGCCUCACCCCCACUGCUUGAAGGAACACAAUACCCUUCAUAGCUCUGCUGACCAGGAGAUGGCCUUGAAGAAAUUGCAUAGACACACACUGCUGUUCCAGGCUGUGUUGUUUAUAAGGCUAGACAACUGGGCAGCGAGUCAAGAGUGUGAAAUGGACACUCUGGGCCAGAUUCAGAAGCACAAGAGAACCAGGACAGUGAAUGUCUGUUUUUACAUUACCUGCUUUCCUUGUGAGAUAGGAAUUUGUUCCCCAGGGUGCAAGAAAAAGAGUGAGCAGGCUUGCUGAAGCUUGUCACCCCAGCACUCGGAGAUGGACACAGGUGCAUCUUCUUUUUUGUUUGGUUUUAUCUGUUGUGAUUUAUGUUUGCGUUUUUUUUUUUUUUUCCCCAAAGACAGGGUUUCUUUGUUUGGCGCUGGCUCUGGAGACCAGGCUGGCCUUGAACUCCCAGAUAUCUGCCUUCCUCUGCCUCCCGAGUGCUGGAAUCAAAGGCAUGCUCCACCACCACCUCCACUGAUGAAGGUGCAUUAAUCUUGCUGGCCCUGAGAAAGCCUGUGUCCAAAACACAAUGUGUCCAGCAUCUGUGAAUUCAUAUUUGAAGGGAAUACAUGUGCUGCAUAUAUACAAGUUUGAGCAAAAAUGUGUAUGUAUUCAAGGACACACAUACACAAGCACACUAGUGUAAACAUAUAAUGUGUGAGUGAUCUGCACACACACUCAAGUAAAAAUAAUGAUAAAGGAUCAUAAAGUUUUUUGAAAAACUAGGUAGCUUUUUAGAAAACUUGACCUCCUGUGCAGGAACAUCAUUUUGAGCAAGACCUAGGAGAAUGAGACAGGGUGAUGCUGCUGAGAACACUGGGGUGGUUGACUCUGAAUGCUCUAUGGUUGACAGAGCACAGCAAGCCAAGAUUUGGAGUCUUGUUAUUGCUAAGUAGAAUCCAGUUGGUGGGCUGACAAGGUGUUCCCAGAUUUGUUAGCACAGAGGGUCACCUGGAGGUCUCACCUCUCUGCAUCACAAGACAGGUGCCUCUCAGAAGCCAAGAAGGAUAUCCCUGCACUCAGGAGCAAAGCCCACCUUCAAUUCUACCGGCAUUAACCCUCCCCCCGAAAAAAAACAUUGCAAUAUGUUUUCUAUGUUGGAAAUAAAAUGGCAUUGUUAAAUGA